AGAGAAGUGCAACGAGCAUGAAUUGGGAAUAAGAUAUGGAAGGUCUGUCACUGCUUGAGUCACCUCGGGUCACGUCCAAUAAAACACUGAAGGUAGGAAGUCCAAGAUCAAGACACUGGAAAAUUACGUAUCUAUGAAGAACUGCAUCCUGGUUCAUAAUGAAUUUUUUUUUUCACUGUGAUCUCAUGGCAGAAGAGGGUUCUUCAGCUGUGGAGCAAAGGCAUGGGAAGCUGAGACACUGUCCAGCCUAUGUAGCUUUCUUCAGUCUUUGGAAACUGGCUCACAAUGGACUCAGUGGACCCUUUUGUUUCUGCUGCACAACUGGACAAAACAGUGCUGUACUACUAAGAAGUUCAUAAAAGACAGUGCCCUUGGUUCUGUGACCAUUCCUGUUCAGAGAAGGGUCUUAUAUCUUCCGCUGUAGAAACUGUGACAUCAUGAGCACCAACUUGCAUAGUUUGCUUGUCUGACCACCAUUCCAAGGAGCCACUGUCUUAGUAUAC